GCAAACUCUCACCCGUCUGCAGGCUCCUAGGCUUGGCACCCAGGACUGCAGCUCCUUCCCGAGUUCAAGUUCUGAGUGCCUUCAAGGGCAGCGACAAUCCCCUGGGAGGUGGAGUUAAGUGAACCCCAAGAGGAGUCGUCCCCCCCCCCCCAACCCCGGUUGCUCUGGCCAUCAGUAAGUACCGUUAACUUUCUCAGAGAAUUAGUUUGGGGACACUAGAGUGGAAGGAAGUGGGAAACCGUCUUCAAGUCGCUGGCGCUAAAGCUUACGCUUAGUUGGGGCGGCUGGAAAGUGUGGGGGAAGGGCCGACGGCCCCGGGAAGCCCCGGAGUCCCGGCUGCGCGCGGCGGGUCUGGGAGGCGGUGGGGGAGGGGCGGCGGCAGGUGCGCGCGCCGCGGGCACUCACGAAGCCGUAGCCGCGGGACUUGCCGGUCUGGCGGUCGGUGAUGACCACGGCCUCCUCGAUGUCUCCAAAGCCCUCGAAGUACUUUCUGAGCGAUGCGUCGGUGGUGUGGUAGGGCAGGCCGCCCACGAAGAUCUUGGUGAACGUGGUGUCCUUCUGUGAGCCGUGCAUGGCGCUGGGGGCGGCGGACGGC
rnacentral:lncRNA from 1 species